CUUGUACUCCCUCCGUCCAAAAAUACUUGUCAUAUUGAAAUGGAUGUAUCUAGAUGUAUUUUAGUUCUAGACACAUCCAUUUUGAUGACAAGUAAUUCCGGACGGAGGGAGUACUUG
rfam:Triticum urartu cultivar G1812 contig320122, whole genome shotgun sequence.